UACGAGGGGGGCUAGCGUUGCUCGGAAUCACUGGGCGUAAAGCGCACGUAGGCGGGUCCUUAAGUCAGGGGUGAAAUCCCGGAGCUCAACUCCGGAACUGCCUUUGAUACUGGGGAUCUUGAGUCCGGAAGAGGUGAGUGGAACUCCGAGUGUAGAGGUGAAAUUCGUAGAUAUUCGGAAGAACACCAGUGGCGAAGGCGGCUCACUGGUCCGGUACUGACGCUGAGGUGCGAAAGCAUGGGGAGCAAACAGG
rnacentral:rRNA from 1 species